AUGCUUCUUCGGUAGCACACAUACUAAAAUUGGAACAACACAGAGAAGAUUAGCGUGACCCCUGUGCAAGGAUGACAUGCAAAUUCAUGUUGGGGCUUUCAAAUAAGUUU
ensembl:snRNA U6 U6 spliceosomal RNA